CUCGGGGGAACAAGCCGAGUCCCAGUUCGUCAGCCUCUCCUCUCCUCUUUCUCUUCCUUGCACUCACUUACUCAAUCCUAGAAUAUCGUUCUUCAGGUUCGUGAAUCCUUUCCCAUCUGGCCUUCAUAUUUGUAAUUCAGAUCCGCCUUCGGCUUCAGGAGCUGUUAAUUCUUGAGUUUAAUAUAUGGAUGGCAAAGCAGAAAAUAACGGUAUGAAAAAAAUAAUGUCGCCAUGUGAUGUUGAAGCUCUGAAAAAAUGCCUGGAGGAGAACAAGGGGGACUAUGGCAAAUGCCAAACGCAAAUAGAGGCUUUCAGAUCGUCAUGCUCAUUGAAGAAACCAAACCCAUCUCUUGACUCUGCUCCCCCUCUCAAGACAGGUGGUUGAUGCUCAAUUAACACGGCCUUAAACUUGACUUGUAUCUUAUGGGGAUUUUUCAUCCCUUAAUAGGGAACGCAUCUUGGAUUUUCCAUUUUUUGGGAUGAGAAUCAAAACUGAGCCCAAUGUUUUUGUUGCAACAAAAUUGUAAGUCCAAUUAUAAUGCUAUAUCUAUGCUUUUUGGCAACAAAAUUGCCAGUUGGAUAUUACUUUGAUUUUGUUCCCAUGAAAAUAAAGUUAUGACAAAAAUUUUUUGGGGGGAAA